UACGGGGGGGGCAAGCGUUGUUCGGAAUUACUGGGCGUAAAGGGCUCGUAGGUGGCCAACUAAGUCAGACGUGAAAUCCCUCGGCUUAACCGGGGAACUGCGUCUGAUACUGGAUGGCUUGAGUUCGGGAGAGGGAUGCGGAGUUCCAGGUGUAGCGGUGAAAUGCGUAGAUAUCUGGAGGAACACCGGUGGCGAAGGCGGCAUCCUGGACCGUAACUGACGCUGAGGAGCGAAAGCAUGGGGAGCGAACAGG
rnacentral:rRNA from 1 species